AUUUGUAUUGUGACUGUCUAGAUGUGACUUAGCAUAUUUUGUGUGUACACCACUCAUAACUUCUGUAUUAAAAAAAUUGUCGUAAAAUAUAGGAUUUGCCACUGAAUUCUAGCAGAUAUAAUUGGAUGGCUGCAUGCUGCACACUCCCCUAUGCUUACACACAAAGAAAGAAUUAAUAAAUAAGGCACAUGUCUAGUUGUUCUACUCACCAUGCUGCCUCCUUUUUGCCGUAGGACCGUUUCAACUUCAUAACAUGAGAGCAAGAGGGGCAUUUCAUCCAUUUUCGAAGUAGGCCUUCUUUCAUUAACCAUCUGGUGAACUUGUAGUUUUCCUUGGGGCACCGUCUAAAAUGUAUUCGACUCAAAAACUCGUAACCCAACAACAUAUUUGUUAAACCUAUACCUAUGGAAUAAUAUUAGAUUCAAAGCUCAUAAUAUUGCCCCGCGCACCCGUCUUCUUUGAUGCCUAAAUGUGUAAACAGUCUCGCAGUCCUGCAUCAAAGAAUGGCGCGAAGUGCCAUUACAGUAAUUGACAUAACAAUCUACCAAUCCGUAGCCGUGUUCCUCCGAUAUGUUGCUCUCAUCCAAUCAUUGACUGUUACUAUGCUGUCAUGUGACAUCCUCAUCCAAUCAUCCAAAGGGAGCCACCAGUCACGUCAAAGAUUCGGAGAAGGUGGGUAUUUGCCGUUUCGUUCACAGUUUGGAGAGUGAAGAGGGAAAUUCGUGAAACAAAAAUGCCUAAGGCCAAGAAGAAAAUGUCCCUAAAAGUCCCUAAAAAUGACUCGAUGACAGAGGUGACCAAAAAUGAUUUGGAUGGUCCUGAAGUUGAAGGAAGCUCUGCUCCAAGUCGCAGCAGCAUAAGCAGCAUUGGAUCAGGAUCAAUCUCCAAAGUGGAGUUCCUAGAAGCAAGGAUCCAAUGGCAAGAAAAAAUAAUAAAGGAUCUUGAGCAAGAGCGCAAUUUCUUGCGUGAGCAAAUCAUGGGAAAGAAGAAAUCAUCUCAACCAAAAGUAUUUACUUUGGAGGACGACGACGAGGAUGACGAUGGUAACAUGGAUGAAGAUGACGUCAUUCCCCCAUCUUCUCCAAACAUCAGUGAGUCCUCGGACAGUGAUGUUGUCAUCCAAAGACGGAAGAAACGUUGGACGUAGCCACCUGCAUCUGCAACUGUGGCUGUGCUUGGAAAAGCUCAUGUGAGAGGUAAGAAUGGCAUAACUUGAACCACCUGCCCUGUUAGCAACAAGUGGUCAUGAAAAGUAAUUAUUAAUAAAAGCAUUGGAAGAGCUGUUAAAAAUAUAUGUUCUGAAGUAAUUAUGAGGCAAAAAUACAGAUCUUCAGUUCUAGAGUCUGAAUAUACUAGGAAUUUGAUGAUAAAUAAAAAUUAAAUGUCUAAAGUAAAAAAUGUGGCUUUCAUCAAGAAUAAAGCAUUUUAUUUUGCAGCAUUCACACUAAUUAUUAUUCAACAUCAAAUGUAUUGCUAGAAAGAUUUGUCUCUCAGAAGUAAACAUAAUUCUGAACCGUAAGACUUACCAACUAAACAGAUCUUAGAGUAUCAUUUUUGUAUUGAAUUCUGAACCACAUAUUGUGCAUGUAAUCAUAUCAGUAGAUGAGCAGAUUGUCCCAUACCUAGAAUAUGCUUCAUACUUUUAUCAAAAGAGAAGUGACCGGUUUGAGCAAUUUCAGCUGACCUUAAGCCGUUGUUUGUGCUCAUUUCUCGUGUUCUUUUGUUUUUGUUUUAUAUAUUUUUCAGCAAAAGGACCAGCUGAGGUUAUCAGCAGAUAUAAAAAAGUCUUGAAAAGCUUAAGCAAAGUCCGCACCAUGACUGAAGCCUUCAGAAUCAAUGGCGUGGACCGGGGAACCAUCAAGAUGACUGCUGCAAUUGCAGAGCUCAGCAUUGUGGAUCCUGAAACCUUCAAGACCCUGAAGUAUGAUCCUGCAACUGAGACCCUGCAGUCCUUUGCUAAGAGGUGUGCAACCCACAUUACCCCUGAGAAGAAGAGCAUUAUAGAGGACAUGAAGGCCAAAGGCCAACUCCUCCCCUUGUUGAUGAAAUAUUAAAGACUUAAGUGAUCUGCUUUGUUCAGUUAAAGAUCGGUUGUAUUGUAUUGGAAACGUGAAAUAUUAACCUGUGCAGAUUUAGAUAUAUCCUUGUUAGUGCACAGGGGAAAUAAAUCACCUGAUGCAGUAAUUAUAGAGCAAGUUUAGGCUGCGAAAGUGCAAUGUUUGUACAGUUCAGUACAUUUGUUCUAAGCUUUGACAAGUGUAGUUUAGCUGAUGAAGAGCAAGUUCAUGUUGAGCUGUGCAGGUUUUAUAUUUUUUAGAUUGUGCAAUUUAUUGUAUUUUUGUACUUAAUAUUGUGCAGUAUUUUAUAUUGUGUUUUUUUUAAGCAGGCAGAUUUUGGUUAAAGGAUCACACAGAUGUUCAACAAUAGAGUACCUGUAUUAUCAUACAGUAUGACCUGCUUAUACAUUUGAUACCAUAUUGUAUGACAUGUUUAUAAACAUUGAUACUUGUCAGUGUUUGAAUUUUCAGGCAGUAUUUGUUGUCAGCCUUGGGAAAACCUGAACCAGUGGUUUAAUAAAUGAGGUAUUUGUACUUGUGCUGUCUUUGUUAUUCUACCACUGAAUGAGAGGGAACCUAUAGAUAGAUCCAUUUUUUUCAAAGGUGUAACCCAUCGCUUGUUCAUUGCAGUAGUUAUGUGCUAUAAUAUAUUAACUAAGUGUAAAAAGGAGGCAACUUUAGAUUAGGGAACAUGUGUUGGUUAAUAAGUGUUCAAUUACUAGUGAAUUAGUAAUGAUCAAGAUGUCACUUUAGUAUGGGGAACAUAUUCUAAGUAACAAAGACUUAAUUUAGAGUUAUUUGGACACUAUUAACACUUGUAGUUUUGUGUAUUUUUUAUGUAAGAACAGACCAUAUUCAUUAAGUGUUAUUAAGGGAGAAUAACUAUUCUUGUGGUACUACCACCUUAUAAAGUCCAUACUAAGCAAAGCAUAUUAAGAUCAUAAUUCAUAUGCAACAACUUCCUUACUUACUGCUAAUAAGCAAUAAUUCUGAGGUUAUUGAGGGAAAACUCUUAGUUAAUGGCUUACUGGUUGUAUAAUAAGGCCAUGCAGAAUAAGGCAUUAAUAAGUACUUAAUAAUGACUAAUUA